ensembl:lincRNA
CACAGAACCUGUUGGCCUUGACUGCAAGUUUUGGGUCAAAGAACCUUUGGACCCAAGGUUUGGAUGGGUGGGGAUGGGGGAGUGGUUCUGAAUGGAAAUCCAGAAUGACGAGGCCUCUUGACACCAGGUAGACCUUACUUCAAUUCAGGUCCUCAUUUUGGGUAUGAAUGUCAUCUGUUUUCUGCUGAUGGACUGUGACUCCUACCAUAUAUACCCCCAUAAGUCUGCCAUGGAAAUGAAAGUACUUUCUCACAGCACCGAGCUCAGAGAAACACUGCCCUUGACUCAGAGAAGGAAGACACAUGGAAGUGUGACUAUUAACGUUACCAGAGAAAACUUUUCAACCUAGGCCUUGUCAAAAGAUGAAGGCCUAAGAUGGCUGUUUCACCCUUUAGUCUUUGGGGUUUUCUACAUAAGCUGAUUAGAAACACAGCUUCCAGACAUGACACAUGCAUGUAAUCCCAGCACUGGGGAGGUAUAAGCAAGAGAAUCAGGGCUUGGAGGCCAGCCUGGGCUAAAUGAGACACUAUGUGAAAUAAGAAUAAAAUACUACUUCCUCCUGGGAAAAAAAAAAAUGCCAGACAGCCACCAACUGGAGUAUAUACAAGCCCUGCGAUGGGUUUCAUCAAGAGAAGUGCAGAGAAUAGCCAGUGAGCCAGCUUGCUUGAGCCAGGCACAGGCUAGAGCUCACUGCCCAGAGGCGCCAGGGACAGGUUCCACAUGCUUGACACAGAGCCAGGAGUUCUGGAGCCAACUCAAAGUCUCUGUCCUCAGAAGAGCUCAAAAAAAGCACUGGAAUAAAGUAGUAAAUGCCCACCCAAUACCCAAAGUACAAAAACUAAAUGUCUUGGACUCGCUAAGUCCAGUGUUCAGGCUGAGUCUUUUUGAUGCAAGAAGCAUUACAGACUGGGGACAGGGAGCCACCUCCCUGCCAUCAGCAGAACAAUCAGAAGACAGAGACAAUGCAUAGGGGCCCAGAGGAUCCUGCUGGGCUCUAGGCUCAAUCAUGGCUCUGUGGAUUUGCAAUAUGGGAGUACAUUGUGCACAAACAAGCCUUAUAGUUUGCACAGCUUCAACCUUGCUUCUCGUGUGUCUCUUUGCAAUAUAAACUUAAAUAUAUACUUUAAUUUGUUCAGCCUACCGAGGGCUGAUGGAGGAAUGGCUGGAGACACUUGAUGUAAUCAAAUUCUAUAGCUUGAAAGGAUGCCCAGAAAGGCUUCAGGGUGACCCAAAUAAGGACACAGGGCAAUACAACUUAAAUCUUCUUUCUUCUGAUUCAGGAACAGAAUAUGGACCAUCACUGCCAGCCCCAAAAGUUUCUCCAGAGGGAACAUCUGUGUGGCUCAGGGAUGUUUCAGGGCUGGCUCAGCCUUCCCUGUGUGUGCCAACCAAUAUAAUUAAAAAUGCAUCCAAAGUAAACCUCAGACAACUGAGCACCCCUCUGCAACGUGGGGAGUCGCUCACUGUCGGAGGGUGGUCACCCCGGUGGGCGCAAACGUUGCCCCAGGUGCUCUGCAGCUGGCUGCAAGGGCUCAUGAAAUUCUAUCCUUUCCAGUUCCCAGUGUGCUGGAGAGCAAGCAACUCUGAGAGGCCGGCUUGCAGCCCUGUCCCACCUGUGGAAACUAAUGAUACCAGUUCAGCAUAUUGGCAGAGGAAGGAAACUUGCACUGCAAACAGACCUACCGAAACAUGGGAAGUAUGUGCUUAAUAGAAGCACAUUGAUUCAAGUCGCUCGAAGAUCAAAUUACUCUCCCAGCCCAGGUGAUUUUGUCCCAGAAGCCGGGAUACUUGUAUCGACAAGAGUAUUGAUGAAAAACCACUCGCUGCAUCUCGGCGGACCAUAUUAAGGCUGUUAAUCUCGGAAGUGUCCCAUAAUUUCUAUCCGACAUGCAGACUCUUCAUUGGAAAGAGUUUUAACUCCAAUGCAAACAGUAAUAAGGAAAUAAAAAUCACUGGUGUAUGUCUUUUCCAAUAUCGGUCUUGGUAAGAAUUCUUGACUUCUAUGGUCAAUUGAAGCUCAUCUUAAAUAAAAAGCUUUGUUUCUUCCAACAGA